AAGUCGUAACAAGGUUUCCGUAGGUGAACCUGCGGAAGGAUCAUUAGCGAGAGCCUGCCACCGGUGAUAUGAGCUGGUGUGCAAGCGCGCCAUCCUUGUGUUGUGUGUUUGGUGUUGUGUGUGCGCAUGCGCUUGCCGCGUGUGCACACGCGCAUUUUUCUCACUCUAUUCAUUCAUGUCUGAUCAUCAUGCCCGCAUGGGCACAAACAACCGAAAACUGCCAGCAAUGGAUCACUCGGUUCUC
rnacentral:misc_RNA from 1 species